rnacentral:piRNA from 2 species
UGAGUGAGGAUGUUUUGGAAGACUGG